GCCGAGUGCGGUGGCCCGUGCCUGUAGUCCCAGCUACUCCAGAGGCUGGGGCUGAAGGAUUGCUUGAGCCCAGGAGUUCUGUAGUGCGCUAUGCCGAUAGGGUGUCCACACUAAGUUCGGCAUCAACAUGGUGACCUCCCGGGAACGGGGGACCACCAGGUUGCCUAAGGAUGGGUGAACUGGCCCAGGUCGGAAACAGAGCAGGUCAAAACUCCCGUGCUGAUCAGUAGUGGGAUCACGCCUGUGAAUAGUCACUGCACUCCAGGGCAACAUAGUGAGACCCCCAU
rnacentral:SRP_RNA from 1 species